AAAGAUUAUCACAACUAUGUACAAACUGAUACGGUCCUCAGCCAAGGGACUGGAAAUGAACAUCGCGGGGUUAUCAGUGCCGAUCUGUCAGCAGCGAGUCGCACGGCCGCAGGCUCGUCCGCGGCAGGAGCCGUGAUAUAUGUCUCGCUCCCUUUCGCUCACAAAACGGAUUUCUUCCGACAGGCGUGACCCCAGAAGGCUGCGGAGAGAGCAUUUAACUAAGCAGAAGGAGUUGUCUUGUGGGAUUGGAUUUUUACACACACACCCCCGAGGUAAAUCAAAAUAAAUGAUUUUCCAAAGGUCAGUCUCCCUGAAAGCGUUUGGGCUGUGUGUUUUUGUUUUGUUUUGUUUUUCAUUGGGGAAGGAAGAGGAACCUAAUCAGAGUUGAACAGGGAUAGAUAGGUGCAUUGUAAAAUAUGGUUUCGAUUGAUUGUGAGAUCUGGUUGCGAAGGGUAGGUUUCCUGGCAAUAUAACAGUGAGUGGUGAACCUGUGGAUCCCUAGGGGACGGGGGAGGGGGAAAGAGUUUCGCGUUGAUCCGGAGGGGGGGGGGGGCGCGGACUCUAGGAAGUUGGGUAAAAUUCUCCAUUUUUUAAAUUCUUCGUUGUAAACUGUUGCUAAACACUUCUGAAUUUUAAAUUGCUACAGAGAAGGUCCAUAAACCGUUCUCGUUCAAUUUAGUCACUUUUAUUACAUUCCUCUUUGCCUCCCCCAAUCACUACUUCGGCUCCCAGUUUCAGCGUGGCCGCAUUUCGGAAACGCUGAAGGUAGAAAACUCUGGAAUGGAGAGAUUGGUGACCGGAGCAGGAUCCAGGGCCUUUAAAGUUUAACCUGAGUUCGAUCGAAUGCAACUACCGGAGUAACGUUGGCCGGCCGCUCAAUUCCCACCAUGGCUUCAGAUGUCUUGCACUCGGUUCUUUGCUGAGUUCCGACCAAAUGGACUGGGUUUUGCAGAGUUCUUUUGUGAGCGGUUAUUUUAAUGUUCUGGACAUUUAUUUUCCUUUGAGUCCAAUUGUUUUUGAAAUGUUUCUCAGAUUUACUAUUAAAAGUAAAUUUUUUUAAAGUCCAUGCUUGCUAAAAAAAAAUAAAUGCUUUGGUUAGGUUUGCAUCCAUGCUGUGAAUGGCCUCCAAGCUGAGCCCUGGAGGAGAUCAAGCCCUGGCACGAGCUUGAUUCCUACCUAUCCUCUAUGAUUCUUUAUAUUUGCAAAUAUGAUGAUAUCGGUGUGGAUUUCCUGGGAGAUAGCUAACCCCCACUGUCCUGCCUUUCUUGCAGCUCCCCUGCAGCAUUAGGAGGGCGCACUGACCUCGGCGCCCAUGCGACAGAGGUGAGCUGCUGGACGGAUAUUGACCAAUUCAACAAUGUUCGGGCUGCUGUAAGGGUUCGAGAGAGAACCCAGCAUUUUAACCUUAAUAUUCCCCAUCACUUAAGAAUGCCCAAACCAAAGGGAAAAAUAAGUAAUUGUUCCUUUUCAGGCCACAAGUUAUACCUUUUUAUAAUAAACAUUGGUUUUCCAAUCAAACGAGGGAAUGGAUAAAGAAA
rnacentral:lncRNA from 1 species